rnacentral:misc_RNA from 1 species
GAUGAAGAACGUAGCGAAAUGCGAUAAGUAAUGUGAAUUGCAGAAUUCAGUGAAUCAUCGAAUCUUUGAACGCACAUUGCGCCCGCCAGCAUUCUGGCGGGCAUGCCUGUUCGAGCGUCAUUUCAACCCUCGAGCCCCCCCGGGGGCCUCGGUGUUGGGGGACGGCACACCAGCCGCCCCCGAAAUGCAGUGGCGACCUCGCCGCAGCCUCCCCUGCGUAGUAGCACACACCUCGCACCGGAGCGCGGAGACGGUCACGCCGUAAAACGCCCAACUUCUUAGAGUUGACCUCGGAUCAGGUAGGAAUACCUGCUGAACUUAAGCAUAUCAAUAAGCGGAGGA